GUCUUAAGUAUAUUGUACGAAAUGAAAGCUAACCAGUUUUCAUUCGUAAUGAUAAUAUCAUCUUUAAUAUUACAUUCUAGUUCUGCAUUAGAUGUUUGUAGAGAUACAGACAGCACAAACUGUCAAUCAUGUGGUGAUACUGCAUAUCCUAGAGAUGAGCUGUAUAGACAGAACUGUAUGAGGUCAUGUGGUGUUUGUAUAGAUACAAACAUUGCUCAUGGCAAACCAACGGGGCAGAGUUCAACAUAUUUACGAUAUAAUUCAGAUAAUGCUGUAGAUGGUAAUACUGAUAAUCACUGGGAGAAGUCUAGCUGUACACAUACAUACAGUAAUGGUAAUGAAUGGUGGUGUGUUGAUCUACAACA